GACGAACGCUGGCGGCGUGCUUAACACAUGCAAGUCGAACGGAAAGGCCCUGCUUUUGUGGGGUGCUCGAGUGGCGAACGGGUGAGUAACACGUGAGUAACCUGCCCUUGACUUUGGGAUAACUUCAGGAAACUGGGGCUAAUACCGGAUAGGAGCUCCUGCUGCAUGGUGGGGGUUGGAAAGUUUCGGCGGUUGGGGAUGGACUCGCGGCUUAUCAGCUUGUUGGUGGGGUAGUGGCUUACCAAGGCUUUGACGGGUAGCCGGCCUGAGAGGGUGACCGGCCACAUUGGGACUGAGAUACGGCCCAGACUCCUACGGGAGGCAGCAGUGGGGAAUAUUGCACAAUGGGCGGAAGCCUGAUGCAGCAACGCCGCGUGCGGGAUGACGGCCUUCGGGUUGUAAACCGCUUUCGCCUGUGACGAAGCGUGAGUGACGGUAAUGGGUAAAGAAGCACCGGCUAACUACGUGCCAGCAGCCGCGGUGAUACGUAGGGUGCGAGCGUUGUCCGGAUUUAUUGGGCAUAAAGGGCUCGUAGGUGGUUGAUCGCGUCGGAAGUGUAAUCUUGGGGCUUAACCCUGAGCGUGCUUUCGAUACGGGUUGACUUGAGGAAGGUAGGGGAGAAUGGAAUUCCUGGUGGAGCGGUGGAAUGCGCAGAUAUCAGGAGGAACACCAGUGGCGAAGGCGGUUCUCUGGGCCUUUCCUGACGCUGAGGAGCGAAAGCGUGGGGAGCGAACAGGCUUAGAUACCCUGGUAGUCCACGCUGUAAACGGUGGGUACUAGGUGUGGGGUCCAUUCCACGGGUUCCGUGCCGUAGCUAACGCUUUAAGUACCCCGCCUGGGGAGUACGGCCGCAAGGCUAAAACUCAAAGGAAUUGACGGGGCCCCGCACAAGCGGCGGAGCAUGCGGAUUAAUUCGAUGCAACGCGUAGAACCUUACCUGGGUUUGACAUGGAUCGGGAGUGCUCAGAGAUGGGUGUGCCUCUUUUGGGGUCGGUUCACAGGUGGUGCAUGGCUGUCGUCAGCUCGUGUCGUGAGAUGUUGGGUUAAGUCCCGCAACGAGCGCAACCCUUGUUCACUGUUGCCAGCACGUUAUGGUGGGGACUCAGUGGAGACCGCCGGGGUCAACUCGGAGGAAGGUGGGGAUGACGUCAAGUCAUCAUGCCCCUUAUGUCCAGGGCUUCACGCAUGCUACAAUGGCUGGUACAGAGAGUGGCGAGCCUGUGAGGGUGAGCGAAUCUCGGAAAGCCGGUCUCAGUUCGGAUUGGGGUCUGCAACUCGACCUCAUGAAGUCGGAGUCGCUAGUAAUCGCAGAUCAGCAACGCUGCGGUGAAUACGUUCCCGGG
rnacentral:rRNA from 1 species